rnacentral:rRNA from 1 species
AGAUAUCAGAAGUGCGAAUGCUGACAUGAGUAGCGAUAAGCGUGUGAAAAGCACGCUCGCCGAAAGCCCAAGGUUUCCUGCGCAACGUUCAUCGGCGCAGGGUGAGUCGGCCCCUAAGGCGAGGCCGAAAGGCGUAGUCGAUGGGAAACGGGUCAAUAUUCCCGUACCGAUCUGUAAUGCGAUGGGGGGACGGAGAAGGUUAGCUCAGCCGGGGUGUUUGGAACGUCCCCGGUUUUAAGCGUGUAGUCGUGCUGCCUAGGCAAAUCCGGGUGGUUUUAGACGAGGCGUGAUGACGAGGACCUUCGGGUCUGAAGUGAGUGAUACCCUGCUUCCAGGAAAAGCCUCUAAGCUUCAGUUACAGAUUGACCGUACCGCAAACCGACACAGGUGGGCAGGAUGAAAAUUCUAAGGCGCUUGAGAGAACUCAGGAGAAGGAACUCGGCAAAUUGAUACCGUAACUUCGGG